CCAGCCCCGGCCCGGCCCCGCCGCGCCCCGUACCUGCCCCGGCCCGGCGGCGGAAGCGGCGGCGGCGGAAGCGGCGGCGGAAGCGGCGGGAGCGGCGGAGCGGGCGGAGCGAGCGGAGCCAUGUCGGGCCGGGAGGGCGGCAAGAAGAAGCCGCUGAAGCAGCCGAAGAAGCAGACGAAGGACCUGGAUGAGACGGAUCUGGCAUUCAAACAAAAACAGAAGGAGGAGCAAAAGAAACUUGAGGAGAUGAAAGCAAAAGCUGCUGGAAAAGGGCCCCUGGCCAGUGGUGGAAUAAAGAAGUCUGGCAAAAAGUAGCUUGAUCAAACUGCCAGGGUAAGAAGUGAUCAAGUUACUCAAUGGACCUGCAGACUUCAGAGAGUCUUGAAAACAGUUUGUCAUUUGGGAAACAUUGUACAUUUUGUUUAGUCACAAUAAAUCCUUUUUGUUAAGAUGUGA